rnacentral:rRNA from 1 species
CAGUCGCCGCGGUAAGACAGAGGAUGCAAGCGUUAUCCGGAAUGAUUGGGCGUAAAGCGUCUGUAGGUGGCUUUUCAAGUCCGCCGUCAAAUCCCAGGGCUCAACCCUGGACAGGCGGUGGAAACUACCAAGCUGGAGUACGGUAGGGGCAGAGGGAAUUUCCGGUGGAGCGGUGAAAUGCGUAGAGAUGUGGAGGAACACCAGUGGCGAAGGCGACUCUCUGGUCUGUAACUGACGCUGGGGAGCGAAAGCGUGGGGAGCGAACAGGAUUAGAUACCCCCGUAGUCCCUGUCUCUUAUAC